AAAAAAGCCGUCUCCAUGGAAGCGGCCCUUCCGCUCGGAGCCCGGCGGCCUGGAGGGAGACCCGGCGGGGAUGCGAGGAUUCCGCCCCAGCCCCAGAGGACGCGGCGGAGAGCCUGGAGGAGGCGCUUUGAGAGUCGAGGUCUCCCGCCCGCGCGCCUCCCUGGCGCAGACCUCUUUUAACUUUUUGGCGUGGAGUGCGCGUCCUGACGUGCCCCCUGAGCUACAGCUUACUGAGCUUUACUGGCUUCGCCGGACAGCCGUCCCCAGGUGGAGAGACAGCGCGUCGCGCGCUGCCCGGGCCCCGCAGGGCCUGGCGCCUGGGGCCCUUGCGCCGCUUUGGGGCGAGGGGAUCACACCGCGGGCUCCCGGAGCUUAGCGUCUUCCACGCGGCGCUGUGUGUCAUCCACGCAGUGUGCUCUCGCUGCCGUGUUCAGGUCACUGCGAGGGUGAGCCCCGCUUUAUCUACCCCUUCUGCUGUUGAUGGGCACUCGUCUGGGGCUAGAAGGGAUAAGGUUGCUGUGAGCGUUCUCGUGUGUUUUUGGUGCACGCGCACACACAUUUCUCUGGGGUGCAGACCUGUCUAGUAGUGGAACUGCCGUUUCCCAGCACUUUGGAGCAAAGCCCUGUUGCAGUCUGAAGCGGAAAAGGCAGACGGGCCUUCCAUGUUCGUGAUUCCAGCCAGGCACAGAAGGGAAGGACAGGGACAGCAGCCGCGCGGAGGCGAGGAGGGACACUGGGCGCUGCUGUCCCCUCUCAGGGGCAGCCACUCCUCUUGUGGACGCAGGUGUGGUCACCAGAAGGGAAGGACAGCAGAGGACUCUUCAGGGACCUUCCUGGAUCCCCCUGCAAUGGGAGUGGCCUACUUGCUUGACUUGAGGGUGAGACUUGGUCAGCCCUUGACUGUAGGGGGCAGGACCAUGGGCUUCAGUGGGGCAGCACCCAUGACCCACGCCUCUGCUUCCAUUCCCUGCUUACUGCCCGGGCCUCUGGGCAGGGGAGUCUAGUCUCCCUUCCCAGGCUUCCAAUGCCUCGCCCCCUGCUGUGGUAAGGAUUCGCGCUGGUCCCUAUUUAUUAAUCAGGGAACUUGGGGUUCCAGUUUUCUCCCCUUCUCUGCAUCUCAUCCCCUUGAGAGCCCCCUGGAGCAGAGGAUAACGCACGAGGGGACUGGCUGUGUAUAUUUUGAUAACAAUAUCAAAAUACUGUCAAAUACUAAACGGAAAAGAAAUAGGAAAACAUUGAACUUUAUUAAAAUGAACUUCAAAAGACACCAUUAAGAGUAAAAAGAUGACUCACAAAAAAGUUGCCUUUUGUUCAGUAAACGACUCAGGACCAGAAAAUAUGAAGACCCCUACAACAAGAAAAAUAUAGAUAGCUCAGUUAAAAAUUGACAAAAGACUUGAAAAGAUAUUUCACAAAAGGAGAGAUCCAGACAGUCAAUCCACACACGAAAGGGUACUUAGCAUCAGGGAACUGCAAAUAGUGACAUUCGAUUCCAUAUCACAGCCACUGGAUGGCUAAAAUAGCAACGCCAAGUGCUGAUGAGACUGUGGAACAACCAGCUGGGCUCUCAUACCCUGCUGAUGGGAGAGUGGAUUGGAGCAACCACGUGGAAACAUCUAAUGGAGGAAAAAGAAAAGAAAAGUAUGCCAAACUUUACCCUUCACCUUUCUUCUCAAAAUGGUCAGGUUUCAGAGCUGUGGUAGAAACUUCUAGUACUGACAACAGCCAGUACCUCCCCGCUUGGCAGCUGAGACUAUGGGACCAGUUCUGGCCAAUGGAAUGUGAGGGGAAAUGACGGAUGUCAAUUCCAGGCUGAAGCUUUUAGUUGCCAGAGCCAGGUCCUCCAGUCCUACCUUUCCACUGUGGCAGUCCCUCUGAAGUCCCAAGAUCAAGAGCUGACAGCUGAAUCCUUGCAUGGAGAGUCGCCUGGACCUGCAGUGGACUCUGGAUGAGGGAGUAUACACCCCUCUCCUGAGAUGGCAAACAGGAGGUCUGGAUCAAUCCUACAGUGUCGGCAAAUGUCUGGAUUACCCUGCAAGUUCAGACCAGUGAGGAUCCUUCAGCCACUGGGGGAAAGGCUCUGCUGACACAGCAACAGCGAGCAGGGGGCGCCAGCCAGCCAGCUGGCCGUGCAGUGUUCCAGCGGCAGGCGUAGUUUUCUCCCACCUCUCAUGGACAUUGAGUGCACCUUGUGUAUGCUAUGGACAUGCCCAGCCGCUGGAGAUGGGAGGGGAGGGGGUAAGAAGGGAAGCCACUGUGCCGUGACCCUGAGGCCAUUGAGGUGGGGUUUGGUGUCUCACCAAACGGAAGCCACAUUGUUCUGAAUUGCACCUCUGAUGGCUAGGCCAAAUGCUCAUUCUGUUUAACAUCAUUGCUGCAGUCUGUAGCAAAACCCUUAACGUUACAAAGGAAGAGAUAGAGCCACUUCAAACCGUGAAAGGAGAAGAGAUACCACAGUUAAGUCCGCCUGUCUUGGCCAACGGAGUUCAGUCUUUGGGCUUUCCAGCAACAAAAGAUGCCUUCAGUUGCCCCAGGGUUUUACUCCAGUCCCCGGCAACAGCUAGAUCUCCAUGAAGGGAAACAGCCAAUAUUUUUUUUACUUGCAGGAAAGGGAGGCAUGACAGCUCCACAUCUGUGUUCACCCUUGUGGAUCCCAGGUGAGACUCCAGAUGAAAUGGGAGAGUUCUCUGACCCCCUCACAGGACAUGUGACAGGAGUGUGGCUAGUCUGUUCAGCCUCCACCACUGCUGAAACACCUUAUGGGAGGGGGAGCAUGCAGAUGGGCAAGCGCAGGUGCCAGGGCCAGCGCUUUUGGGCUUCAACCCCAUGGUGGCAUCUAGGGGUGUGUGUCUGUGACUCCUGAAGCCCCAGUGUGUGUGCUCCAGUGCUCUUUUAGCUCUGCUGUCUGUCAGGCCUCUGAGCCCAA
rnacentral:lncRNA from 1 species